CGCUGGCGGCGUGCUUAACACAUGCAAGUCGAACGAUGAAGCCCUUCGGGGUGGAUUAGUGGCGAACGGGUGAGUAACACGUGGGCAAUCUGCCCUUCACUCUGGGACAAGCCCUGGAAACGGGGUCUAAUACCGGAUAACACCGGCUUCCGCAUGGGAGCUGGUUGAAAGCUCCGGCGGUGAAGGAUGAGCCCGCGGCCUAUCAGCUUGUUGGUGGGGUAAUGGCCUACCAAGGCGACGACGGGUAGCCGGCCUGAGAGGGCGACCGGCCACACUGGGACUGAGACACGGCCCAGACUCCUACGGGAGGCAGCAGUGGGGAAUAUUGCACAAUGGGCGAAAGCCUGAUGCAGCGACGCCGCGUGAGGGAUGACGGCCUUCGGGUUGUAAACCUCUUUCAGCAGGGAAGAAGCGAAAGUGACGGUACCUGCAGAAGAAGCGCCGGCU
rnacentral:rRNA from 1 species